rnacentral:rRNA from 1 species
UUAAGUCCCGCAACGAGCGCAACCCUAUCUUAUGUUGCCAGCACGUUAUGGUGGGGACUCGUAAGAGACUGCCGGGGUCAACUCGGAGGAAGGUGGGGACGACGUCAAGUCAUCAUGCCCCUUAUGUCCAGGGCUUCACACAUGCUACAAUGGCCAGUACAGAGGGCUGCGAGACCGUGAGGUGGAGCGAAUCCCUUAAAGCUGGUCUCAGUUCGGAUCGGGGUCUGCAACUCGACUCCGUGAAGUCGGAGUCGCUAGUAAUCGCAGAUCAGCAACGCUGCGGUGAAUACGUUCCCGGGCCUU